GCAUUAAAAUGAUUGUGUGCUGUAAGCGUGUUGAAACCACUCUUAACUAACAAUGCUACAAAUUUUUGAAACAUUGUUGGCCAAAGUGUGAGCGAUACGGGCUUAUGUGCCAUCCCAAAGCAACACAAACUUGGAGAGCAGCUGCAAUCCGAGUUUGAAAACUUGGUCUGAAAUCGAGCAAGAAAACCCGCUGAACUUAA
rnacentral:misc_RNA from 1 species